AGAAUAUCUGGAUAGAAAUUGUUAUUCAAAUAUCAUUUGAAUUAUUAUGAGAAUCUGAAGUUGAAUGAUAUUAUAUGUAGAUACUAGUUAAAGAAUUUUGGGUAUCUGAAAGCAGAAAGAAAAUAAUUCUUCAUUUGAAAAAAGAUAUUGUGAUAAUGAGUAUAUGAAUUGUUUGGAAUAUUGAGUAAUUCUACAAAUAGAAAAGUAUAGAAGCGUGAUGAUAUAUCGCAAACGCUACUUUUUAAAAUUUAUCUCAAAAGUUAUUGUACUAUUAUUAUUUGUGAAAGUAAAUCAUUCUUUUCUUGAGAAUUGAACAGUAAUCAUGUCCCUACCGAAAUUGAGAAAUUUAUAAAAAGUAGAAUUGAUCAGCUUAGUUUCUGAGAAAUUCGUAUAUAGAAACUAAGAUCUAUAGUAUAUCUUCUCGAGAAAUUGUGAAAGUAUUUAAUAUGUUAAAAAUAGGAUUGUGAUUCGGAUUUGGGUUUAAUAACAGGAGAUAAUGAAUUGAAAAAUGUGAGUGGAACAGAUUUUAUCUGUAAUCUAACGAAAAGAGUGACGUAAAUAUGGCUGAGAAAGGCGAAGGAGCUCAGCUGGUCGUCAAACGGUUAUCCACUCCCGAAGGGACCAAUAGGGGAUAAAAUAUGAGUUAUUUUCCCUCCUGCUUCGUGGGGGUCCAUCAAUUCGAGAGAAGAGCUAUUAAUAUAGCCACGGGAUUGGAUUUAACCCUCUGCUCCUAAGAGACACACCCUUGCGGUAAAAAUUCCUAACCCUUCUUAAUCCUUGCCGCGGCGAAACGCGAGAACCUGUAUACUACAUGACACUAAUUUGCGAUGCACUCGAAACGUUCAACAAGUGUCGCUUACCUUCCCAUUAAAAUAAUCCACUGUCCUUUUAAUAUGCAUCAGAUAGGUUGUACAUGAUUUCUUAACGAGGUAAUCUCUUAAUCAGAGCUUUUUGUAAUUAAAAAAUUAGAAAUUAAUACGGUUAAAUUUUUAAUCCUUGUAAUUUGGUCUUUACAAAUUUAAAUACGAUGUCAUUUAUUUUUAAGAUAAAUAAAACAGCACAACAAGGGAUUUAUUGUAUAAAAAGAUUAUUGCAUUAUAAAGUGUUGGAAUUUGACAAUAAUCUACUGAAAAUCUCUAUGAGUAAUAUAGAACUUUAAUAAAAUUUUAAAUAUUUUUAGCUUAUUGUAAAAAUAAAUUAAGAUAUUAUAUGAAUAUAAAUAUGAAAUACAUUAAAAUUACGUUAAUUGAAUGUCAAACGAUUUUUCGAUAUUCGAUUAUCGUUUUGUAGAAUAAAAAGAACGUAGCUAAAGAACUUGAUAGUACUAGAUAUUCUAAACGAUAGUCAUCAGUAUCGUACUCAUAUUCCACAAUAAUAAUUCGGAACGUGUAGCUUUUCGCUUAUGCAAUCAGCAUCAGUUAACUCGGUUCAAGUAGAAUCAGAUGUACACGUGCAGACGAGCACGGUACAGUCUGCUUCAUGACAAACGUUAUCGACACUUGGCAAGUGACACAUAUAUCGCGAAACUGUCCCUACUGUCUGUUGACUGUGCUGUGGAUGAUGUGAGAGUACUAGAGACGGCCAGGGAAAGAGAUUCGUGUCGACGACAGGCGUUUGCCAUUAGUCACUCUUCUGCAUCCUCUUCAACGCCCGCGGAAGGCACGGUACGAUGCGGCGGCGUGUCGAUAUAUAAAGAGGAGAGUUCUGUUCUGCAAAUGCGCUCCAGGGAACUGAUCCAGCUGUUGCUCGUCCUUCGGACUUUUCGUUUGCCAUUUUAAUCAAGACUUUCACAGGAAGGAAGUCCUGGGGUACAGUCUGUACCAGCAGCAACACAGCGAUGAGAGUGGAGGAUUUUACUCGCGUUUACUCUACAUAACGUGUGUUUCGCUUUAUUUAGCUUUGUUAUACAUCAUCGUGGAAUCGGUCAAUAUUUAAUCUUAGAAAAAUUCCGAAUGAAUGCCACGAUGCAGAAGAACAAAUGACGAUACUCGAAAUUGCUCGAAACCGGCGACUUUUUGCGUGAAAAUGAUUUUCCUGGCAGGCCUCGUGCCACUUUUUUUCGGGUCACGGACUGUCUGGCGUUGAAUGAAGGGAGCAGAUGCGGCCGGAUGCAAAUCGUGGAUUAAUCUCGCCAACCCCAUCUGAGCUACCCCCGAAUCGGUCUAUCCCUGACCCCCAAUUGCAGCGCGAGGGGUCGGACAUCGCUCGCCUCUGUGAAUCUAUAUGCGAAAGUUCGCAUGUGUCGAGGACAGGAGUCACUCCUUUCUGUCGCCCCUCGAUUCUACGGAUUACGACACUGUACAGAAAUAUCCGGCAGGUAUCUUCUUUCUCGCGUCGAUUAAUUUAUCCUAAUUUUUAGCCAGAGAAUCUUGUUAUAGAUUUUUCAUAUUUCACAAAUUCCUUUAAUUGUUUCGCGGUUAAUGAAAGAAUGCCAAAAUAAGUUUUAGAAAGAUUUCUGGCAAUAACAAUUGCCGGGUUUAUAUAUAUUUUUAUGAACAACUUAACCCUGCUGCAUUCCUUAAAUUUUUAUUCCUAUUUCGAUAUUUCAAUUUCAUUAUUAGCAUAAAAUUGAAUUCUUUUUACUUGAGAAAUUGUUUAGUAGUAAGAAAACAUAACUGAGUGAAAAAAGAGCCGAGGAACGCAGAGGAUUGAAAAUGCAAAGCUGUGCAUGAAUAUAUAAAAUAUUCAAAGUAUAUAUAUUUGUUAAUAAUAUAUAUUAGAUGAAACAAAAUUAUUUAAACUUCAUUUUUAGCUAUGCUCUCAAAAAUAUGCGAAAUUGUAUAAAUAUCCGCAAUGUGGAAUAAUUAUAGCAUUUGUCAUUGAUAUCAAUUUACGAAUGGGACUAUUUUACUUAAAAAAUCCUAUUUAACCUACAUUUUUCUAAAUUUCAGAAUAUACUAUAGUUCGUAUUAUUGUAGUCUUGCAGUCAUUAUUAAAAGAAAUUAUCCUAUUCCCGUGCAAAGUGAUUUUUCUAAGGUUUAAGAUGUCUUAUUCUCAUCUCGAAUACAUUGAAAAAGCUUUAUCGAUUUUAUCUUCCGUGCACGCGUGUGCGUAUGCUUUCUUUCUGAGUGACUCCAUCAAACUAAGCCUCAAUAAACUACAUAUAAAGUACGUGGAUUAAGCCGCCCCUCUAUAGAACACGCGUGGAGGUGUUUCUGGUUGAUCGAAAAGAGGCGAGUCAAGGAAGUUGGAUCAAUUUAAGGAUGAAAUUACGUCACGUUUUUUUUUUUGUAAAAAAAUAACACAAAUAAAAUAUUUUGUUCUU